AAAUAACUAACUCAAUUAAAUGAAAUGAAACGAACGAACUGAAACGAGACGAACAAAACUAACACAACGAAAUAAUAGGCUGAAUCAGAUGGCUGGGUGUUAUUUCAUACCGAGCUCAGAAUAAAUAGUAAUAUACCUUGCCACACAGGCAAGUCAAAUAAUGCCACACAGGCAAUCACACAUCGGACUGCGCAAUCCAGAUGCGUGCAAAAUCAGAAGGUGUGUUUGGCACAAACAUCACCAAUCCGCAGAACAGAACAGAACAGAAACUAGGGUCGACCCAUACGCCUCCCACAACAAAACACCAAAUGGCUAACUCCCACCGGAGCACAAAACGGAGAC
rnacentral:lncRNA from 1 species